rnacentral:rRNA from 1 species
CAGUCGCCGCGGUAAUACGUAGGGUGCAAGCGUUAAUCGGAAUUACUGGGCGUAAAGCGUGCGCAGGCGGUUAUAUAAGACAGAUGUGAAAUCCCCGGGCUCAACCUGGGAACUGCAUUUGUGACUGUAUAGCUAGAGUACGGCAGAGGGGGAUGGAAUUCCGCGUGUAGCAGUGAAAUGCGUAGAUAUGCGGAGGAACACCGAUGGCGAAGGCAAUCCCCUGGGCCUGUACUGACGCUCAUGCACGAAAGCGUGGGGAGCAAACAGGAUUAGAUACCCCUGUAGUUCCUGUCUCUUAUAC